rnacentral:miRNA from 1 species
UGUACCUCGUUGAUCGGAAGGAAACCCUUCCGAUCAAGGAAGUACAUCUACCUCUAUGAUCGGAAGGGGUUCCUUCCGGUCAACGAGCAUCCCUCUUUGAUCGGAAGGAACCCCUUCCGAUCAAAGAGGGAUGUACCUCCCUGAUUGGAAGGGUUUCCUUUCGAUCAACGAGGUACA